GGAUGGGAAUGGGAUCCCAAAUACGACAACCAAAUACAAGGAGGAUCAGAAAGUGAGUUGGCAUGCAACACCAUUCGAGGUGAGAUUGGAGAAGGUGCUCUCGGAAGAAGGUGGUCAGAGUUUAUUCCCUCGAAGGAAACUUGAAGUGAUGGAGGAUGAAGAAGACUCGGACAUAUCGCAGGCUCAGCAUUGAGUGAAACCAAGCUCGUCAGUUUCCUUCUGAAACUUGGCCCUCGUACAGAACAGUGAUACUUACAUAGG